CCUACGGGAGGCUGCAGUGGGGGAUAUUGCACAAUGGGGGAAACCCUGAUGCAGCGACGCCGCGUGGGUGAAGAAGCGCCUCGGCGCGUAAAGCCCUGUCAGCAGGGAAGAAAAUGACGGUACCUGAAGAAUAAGCCCCGGCUAACUACGUGACAGCAGCCGCGGUAAUACGCAGGGGGCGAGCGUUAUCCGGAUUUACUGGGUGUAAAGGGGGCGCAGACGGCGAAGCAAGCCAGGAGUGAAAGCCCGGGGCCCAACCCCGGGACUGCUUUUGGAACUGCGUGGCUAGAGUGCAGGAGGGGCAAGCGGAAUUCCUGGUGUAGCGGUGAAAUGCGUAGAUAUCAGGAGGAACACCGGUGGCGAAGGCGGCCUGCUGGACUGCAACUGACGUUGAGGCCCGAAAGCGUGGGGAGCAAACAGGAUUAGAGACCCGGGUAGUC
rnacentral:rRNA from 1 species